AUGGGGUUUAGUGCAUACCAAAAGAUAUCGGCGGCAAUGCGGGUACUCGCCUAUGGCAUACCCGCGGACUAUACCGACGAGUAUCUUCGCAUUGGACAAGAUACAACCACAGAGUCCUCCGUAGGUUUGCAAAGUUGGUUAUCAAGUUGUAUGGUGAGAAGUAUCUUCGAGCACCAAACGAGGAAGAUACAAAGAGACUGA
rnacentral:rRNA from 1 species